UACGUAGGCAGCGAGCGUUUGUUCGGAGUUACUGGGCGUAAAGGGUGUGUAGGCGGUUCUUUUAAGUUUGGUGUGAAAUCUCCCGGCUCAACUGGGAGGGUGCGCCGAAUACUGAGGGACUUCGAGUGCGGGAGAGGAAAGUGGAAUUCCUGGUGUAGCGGUGAAAUGCGUAGAUAUCAGGAGGAACACCGGUGGUGUAGACGGCUUUCUGGACCGUAACUGACGCUGAGACACGAAGCGUGGGUAGCAAACAGG
rnacentral:rRNA from 1 species